UACGUAGGUGGCUAGCGUUGUCCGGAUUUACUGGGCGUAAAGAGCGCGCAGGCGGUCGUUCAAGUCGAGUGUGAAAGCCCCCCGGCUCAACUGGGGAGGGUCACUCGAUACUGAUCGACUCGAAGGCAGGAGAGGGAAGCGGAAUUCCCGGUGUAGUGGUGAAAUGCGUAGAUAUCGGGAGGAACACCAGUGGCGAAGGCGGCUUUCUGGACCAAUACUGACACUGAAACGCGAAAGCCAGGGGAGCAAACGGG
rnacentral:rRNA from 1 species